UAGGGAAUCUUCGGCAAUGGACGAAAGUCUGACCGAGCAACGCCGCGUGAGUGAAGAAGGUUUUCGGAUCGUAAAACUCUGUUGUUAGAGAAGAACAAGGACGUUAGUAACUGAACGUCCCCUGACGGUAUCUAACCAGAAAGCCACGGCUAACUACGUGCCAGCAGCCGCGGUAAUACGUAGGUGGCAAGCGUUGUCCGGAUUUAUUGGGCGUAAAGCGAGCGCAGGCGGUUUCUUAAGUCUGAUGUGAAAGCGCCCGGCUCAACCGGGGAGGGUCAUUGGAAACUGGGAGACUUGAGUGCAGAAGAGGAGAGUGGAAUUCCAUGUGUAGCGGUGAAAUGCGUAGAUAUAUGGAGGAACACCAGUGGCGAAGGCGGCUCUCUGGUCUGUAACUGACGCUGAGGCUCGAAAGCGUGGGGAGCAAACAGG
rnacentral:rRNA from 1 species